rnacentral:rRNA from 1 species
UGAGGAAUAUUGCGCAAUGGCCGAAAGGCUGACGCAGCGACGCCGCGUGAGGGAUGAAGUCCGUUAGGAUGUAAACCUCUUUUGCAGGGGAUGAAGCUGCCGCUACAGGCGGCAGUCGACCGUACCCUGCGAAUAAGGGUCGGCUAACUACGUGCCAGCAGCCGCGGUAAUACGUAGGACCCGAGCGUUGUCCGGAUUUACUGGGUGUAAAGGGCGUGUAGGUGGGCGCCUAAGUCGAUGGUGAAAUCCUGCGGCUCAACCGUAGAAUUGCCGUCGAUACUGGGCGUCUUGAGUACGGCAGAGGGAGAUGGAAUUCAUGGUGUAGCGGUGAAAUGUGUAGAUAUCAUGAAGAACACCGGUAGCGAAGGCGGUCUCCUGGUCCGUUACUGACACUGAGGCG